CUCAUGGCGUCUCUCCAUACAUUACUGAUUCUGUGUGGAUGUGCCACAGCCCUGUGUUUGCCAACAUCUUCACUCACUGGCAAUGCAAUAUUUGAUGUGGAUAAUGGAAAAGACCUGGAUAUAUUUGAAAUAAAUGAAGCGGCAGGACUUGACCUGGUGGAAGGAGACAUUCUGAUAAAGGAGGGAGAAGGCAGAAACACUAUCCUGGGUGAAAAGUAUCGCUGGCCGACCACUGUGCCAUAUGUCCUCGACAGCAGCCUCG